CAAGCAAACGACCCUAGACGGACAGAUGGACGGGGUGGAGAAAACGCAAAGUCAGUUCAGCAUAUGCGCUCUCCUGUGGGAUGGAUGGCCAGAGCUUCAUCGUACAGGCCUUUGGCUUCGUCCAGUUGGCCCCGGAGCUCGGCCAGACGGCCCCGCUGCAGCAGCACCGAGUACCAAGAACAAGUGCAAAGAGAAACUGUGUCGGAGCUGCGCGUGUCAUUAUCAUACCAGCC